rnacentral:rRNA from 1 species
UCGAGGAUCUUCGGCAAUGGGCGCAAGCCUGACCGAGCGACGCCGCGUGCGGGAUGAAGGCCUUCGGGUUGUAAACCGCUUUAGGAGGGGAGGAAAGCCGCAAGGUCUGACCUAUCCUCAAAAUAAGCACGGGCUAAGUUCGUGCCAGCAGCCGCGGUAAGACGAACCGUGCAAACGUUGUUCGGAUUCACUGGGCUUAAAGGGCGCGUAGGCGGUUCGCCAAGUCGGGGGUGAAAUCUUUCGGCUCAACCGGAAAAUGGCCUUCGAUACUGGCGGGCUAGAGGGAGGUAGGGGCAGCGGGAACUUCCAGUGGAGCGGUGAAAUGCGUUGAUAUUGGAAGGAACGCCGGUGGCGAAAGCGCGCUGCUGGACCUCUUCUGACGCUGAUGCGCGAAAGCUAGGGGAGCAAACGGGAUUAGAUACCCCCGUAGUCC